UACGUAGGGGGCAAGCGUUGUCCGGAUUUAUUGGGCGUAAAGCGCUCGCAGGUGGUUCGAUGCGUCGUGCGUGAAAGACCCCGGCUCAACUGGGGGGUGUCGUGCGAUACGGUCGGACUGGAGGCCAGUAGGGGGAGUGCGGAAUUCCGGGUGUAGUGGUGGAAUGCGUAGAGAUCCGGAGGAACACCAGCGGCGAAGGCGGCAUCCUGGACUGGUCCUGACACUCAUGAGCGAAAGCGUGGGGAGCGAGUCGG
rnacentral:rRNA from 1 species